GCGUCGAGCGGCGGACGGGUGAGUAAUGCCUAGGAAAUUGCCCUGAUGUGGGGGAUAACCAUUGGAAACGAUGGCUAAUACCGCAUAAAGCCUACGGGCCAAAGAGGGGGACCUUCGGGCCUCUCGCGUCAGGAUAUGCCUAGGUGGGAUUAGCUAGUUGGUGAGGUAAGGGCUCACCAAGGCGACGAUCCCUAGCUGGUCUGAGAGGAUGAUCAGCCACACUGGAACUGAGACACGGUCCAGACUCCUACGGGAGGCAGCAGUGGGGAAUAUUGCACAAUGGGCGCAAGCCUGAUGCAGCCAUGCCGCGUGUGUGAAGAAGGCCUUCGGGUUGUAAAGCACUUUCAGUCGUGAGGAAGGCAGUGUAGUUAAUAGCGGUAUUGUUUGACGUUAGCGACAGAAGAAGCACCGGCUAACUCCGUGCCAGCAGCCGCGGUAAUACGGAGGGUGCGAGCGUUAAUCGGAAUUACUGGGCGUAAAGCGCAUGCAGGUGGUUUGUUAAGUCAGAUGUGAAAGCCCGGGGCUCAACCUCGGAAUAGCAUUUGAAACUGGCAGACUAGAGUACUGUAGAGGGGGGUAGAAUUUCAGGUGUAGCGGUGAAAUGCGUAGAGAUCUGAAGGAAUACCGGUGGCGAAGGCGGCCCCCUGGACAGAUACUGACACUCAGAUGCGAAAGCGUGGGGAGCAAACAGGAUUAGAUACCCUGGUAGUCCACGCCGUAAACGAUGUCUACUUGGAGGUUGUGGCCUUGAGCCGUGGCUUUCGGAGCUAACGCGUUAAGUAGACCGCCUGGGGAGUACGGUCGCAAGAUUAAAACUCAAAUGAAUUGACGGGGGCCCGCACAAGCGGUGGAGCAUGUGGUUUAAUUCGAUGCAACGCGAAGAACCUUACCUACUCUUGACAUCCAGAGAACUUUUCAGAGAUGGAUUGGUGCCUUCGGGAACUCUGAGACAGGUGCUGCAUGGCUGUCGUCAGCUCGUGUUGUGAAAUGUUGGGUUAAGUCCCGCAACGAGCGCAACCCUUAUCCUUGUUUGCCAGCGAGUAAUGUCGGGAACUCCAGGGAGACUGCCGGUGAUAAACCGGAGGAAGGUGGGGACGACGUCAAGUCAUCAUGGCCCUUACGAGUAGGGCUACACACGUGCUACAAUGGCGCAUACAGAGGGCAGCCAACUUGCGAAAGUGAGCGAAUCCCAAAAAGUGCGUCGUAGUCCGGAUUGGAGUCUGCAACUCGACUCCAUGAAGUCGGAAUCGCUAGUAAUCGUGGAUCAGAAUGCCACGGUGAAUACGUUCCCGGGCCUU
rnacentral:rRNA from 1 species